rnacentral:tRNA from 1 species
UGGGGCUUAGCCAAGCGGUAAGGCAGCGGACUUUGACUCCGCCAUCCCUGGUUCGAACCCAGGAGCCCCAGCCA